AGUGAACGCUGGCGGCAGGCCUAACACAUGCAAGUCGAACGGCAGCACAAGAGAGCUUGCUCUCUGGGUGGCGAGUGGCGGACGGGUGAGGAAUGCGUCGGAAUCUGCCCAUUUGUGGGGGAUAACCUCGGGAAACCGGGACUAAUACCGCAUACGACCUACGGGUGAAAGCAGGGGAUCUUCGGACCUUGCGCAGAUGGAUGAGCCGAUGCCGGAUUAGCUAGUUGGAGGGGUAAAGGCCCACCAAGGCGACGAUCCGUAGCUGGUCUGAGAGGAUGAUCAGCCACACUGGGACUGAGACACGGCCCAGACUCCUACGGGAGGCAGCAGUGGGGAAUAUUGGACAAUGGGCGCAAGCCUGAUCCAGCCAUGCCGCGUGUGUGAAGAAGGCCUUCGGGUUGUAAAGCACUUUUGUUGGGAAAGAAAAGCAGCCGGUUAAUACCCGGUUGUCAUGACGGUACCCAAAGAAUAAGCACCGGCUAACUUCGUG
rnacentral:rRNA from 1 species